GAGAGAGAGAGAGAGACUCUUAUAUUCGAGUCUUUGAUACUGUUUACUUAUAUCAGCUUCCCAACUGUUUUCCUCUUUGUAGUUAUGAUCUGCAUGAAAACAGUAGCCACACCAAAGACUGGAUGCCUUUGUUCUUGUGGUACAUAAAUUGGACUCAAUUCUUUUUUUGGGGGGGGUGUUGUUUGUUUUGUUUUGUUUUUUUUCAAGACAGGGUUUCUGUGGCUUUGGAAUCUGUCUUGGAACUAGCUCUUGUAGACCAGGCUGACUUCGAACUCACAGAGAUCCGCCUGCCUCUGCCUCCUGAGUGCUGGUGUGCACCACCACUGCUUGGCAUUAGUUCUUAACUCUAUAACUUACACUAUUAGAAAUUUGUUACUUGAGAAUAAAAGUUUACUAAAGAUGUUCAUCUCUGACUCCUGAUUGCUAGCCAAAUGAAGUUAAAGUCGUCAUAUACUAGUGACUAGUGCUCAAAGACUGUUUCCUCUGCAUAUGGUACCCUUGUUAAAGAAGGGAUAAUAUCUCAAGUUAAUAAGAAAUAAACUGACCGUUUUUCCAUGGUAAGAAGUGAGUAUCAGUACUAUUUGUAAAUGUAUCCAAUAAAGAAAUGAUACUUUAUUUGUUUAAUGUAUCUCAAGGAGCCAUACAUCAAGGGGAGCCCUAAACCUUUAAAGAUGGCUGCUUCAGAGAGGACAUAACCCUAAGGAUACACUUCUACUGUAACACUGACAAGACUCUACUCCCACAGACAAAACACUUCCAAAGCAGAUGACAAAAGCUCCUGUCUCUGCUUCUGUAGCUCAAACAUAUUCCAUCCUCUCUCAGGUAUCCUUUCAAAGUUCACAGUUUUUUUCCCCAGCAGAGAACACUUUUAUUUUCCACUUCAGCUAUUAAUUAGUAUUAUCUUCCCAUGAUGUUGCUAGCUAACUCUCCUAUCUGCUCCAAGAAAUGAUAUAAUUAUAUACAUUUAGCUGUUGAAAUAUGAUGGCUUUGAUGACUAGAAAGAGAUUCACUUUGCUUUGAAGGGUGGCCAUUGGCAAGUUUCUCAAAAGCCAUUGGAUGGCUCUACAGCAUCUGCUUUUGGGCAGAACUAAUGCAGAUUAUGAAGAAAAACAAAAAUGAUUUUAAUCAAGAGAGAAGAUGAGAGUAGAGGGUGGGGCAGGGACUAUGAUGCAUCAUGUACAUCUAUGAACGUUUCAAAGGCUAAAAAGUAUCUCCAUUUUAGAGGGGAUAAAUUAGAGAUACAGGGAACCUAAAGAAUUUUGAUGAGGCAUCUCCUACACCUGUGGCACUUCCCUGGAGUAAGUUCACUGGUCAGCCACAAAUCCUGGGCCCCCAGGGUUCUUCCAAUGCUGUAUAAAAGAUGUCUGGAGAAGCUGACUUGAACUCCUAGGCUAGAAAAACAAGCAAAGUUUUAUUUACAAAAUGGCUACUGUGUUUGCUCCUUUCACUUUCGCCAGUCUGAAGCAAGAGUGAUUUAUGAGGCUGCAGAUAAAAGCGAAGCACUUUCAGGUAUUAUUUGGAGACUUGUAAAAUGUGAGAUCAUGAAAAUAUGGAUUAUGUGGGACUGAAGAGGUGCUUGUCUUAAAUGCAGGUGCUGGACAGCUGAAUCAUGAACAAGGAAAGCAAAGUCAGCUGCCUUUAAUGGAUGUGCUGUUGUUUUCCUGAUGUUGGGAGAAUACAUAGCAUGUUCCAAUAUGAUGAAAUCCAGCCAGUAGAGAUGAAGUUACCAUGUAUCCGAGGAGGAAAUGAAGAUGGCUUGUGCUCACUGCUGCAUGGAGUCCAGUAAAGGUUAACGAACUUCUGUGGAAAAAAAAAUGGAAGAUUCCAUUUAAACCCAGGCCAGUGAAGAAUAUAACAGUUUUUGUAAAAUCCGCUAUAACUGUACAGAGACCUUUUCAACUUGAACCUUAUAUUUUUGUACCUAAAUAGGAAAAGCUACAAAAAAUGUGGUUCUUCAUUUUGAAAUGAAUUUGCUUAACAUCCAUCCACGCUAUUUUCUUCAUCAUCUGUUACAGAGAGUGAAGAGGUUGACAUUCAGUGGUCCAUAAAGAAAACCAAAUAGCUCUCUAUGGGUGUUGAAUAAAGGCCACAAGAUCACUCAGGAUGAAACGUUCUCAGGCCUGAAACAAAGAAGAGCCUCCAAGAAACCGACCUUGAUAGUAUAUAAUAAACCAUGUGUUAAACUGGAGGACUGUCAAAAAAGUAAUGUUGUAUCAUGGAAAUCACGAUUUGUUUUACCAAAACUUGUAACACAUAUCUCUGAAUGUCUUUGAAGUUCUUUAGUGAAACCAUAAUGAUUUACCUACUUAAAAGAUGGGCAUAUAUUGGGUUAGCAUUUUAAACAAGAUUUUAAACCCAUGCCUGAAUUAAAUUCUUUUAGAUUAGAA